UGUCAGCCGUCUCUCCUCACCGGACCUUUAUUGUGAAGAGCUCAUCAUGUUGGUGAAUCGUUUCCCUCACGAAGCAGAAAUGAAAGGCCCAUUAUCGUCCAAACAGCCAUAGAUCAGAUCGUGUGGUCUUAUCAGAGCUAACACCCCCUUUGCAUGUCCAAUGAAGCCCAACGAUGAAAGAUUACCGUUAGCAGGCCCUGAUUGAUGGCUGCGUGCUGAGGAUACUUCUCCAUAGCAGAGCCGUCCGCCCUGAAGCUCUGAUGUACAUUUUCUACAGUCCAUUUCUUGAGAAGUACAGACUUGAUGUCCGGGGAAGCAUCUCAGAAAUCUACCUGGAUUCUCUGUUUUUUUUCGAUGACGGUACAAACUUUGAUAUUGGAGAUUGUGUCGAUUAAAGUGGACAACAUUAUACUGCAGGUGCUGAUAGGCUAAGAUAAGAAAAAUGAAGGAUCAACACAAAAGACCUAAUGCCUCUUACCCAACUGUCCAUCACUGGGAUGCACAUGUCUUAUACUCCACUAGUUUCCACUCAUUCUACCUCCUUUCUUCUUUUUAAGUCACUGUUGUUAUUUUGUGCUUAGUCGCCCGUUUUUGACUGUGUUUUGUGUCUUAACCUUCUUUCACACAGUAAUCACAAGCAGAAAUGUCAUUACAAAUUAUGUAAAGUAAAAAGUUAUGUUAGUACUUUGGAGAAAAAUAUGUCUGUGCACAAAUGAAAGUUAUAAACAGAAGAAAUAAAUUAUAUUUGUCAACAUGUAAGGGUGAGUUCAAAGAUGUAACCGCAGCAAAGACUAUAAAUUGCUUAAAUGUUUUCGAUGAUAACUGCUCUGUGUGGUUUGCGGUCCAUGUUGAGUAAGAGUGCAUUGUGUGUUAAAAAACAUUCAUUUUAGUCACCGUAUAGUUAAAAAUCAAUUCUGCUCUAUUAAAGUUCUUUGU
ensembl:lncRNA